GGCGGUUCGGGUAUUUUGAGGAUACAGCUUAGCGAAGGGUCUGGAUUUUAAAGAGUUAACGUAUCUGAUUUCAGUUUGGAUGUAUAUUGGAAGAAAAGGAAUCAAGGUACAAAAUGAAAGAGUCAUCAAGGCUAAGCCCGUAAUGCUCAGAGAGUUAAUUAGCUUCAUGACAACGUGACAGGAGAAUUUACUAUUAUUACAACGACAGGUUGGAAACUUGGCUCCCCCGUCCUUUUCUUCACAAAUUAACCCCCCCGGCAAUAUAUGGAUCUAAUGCAACAUAUACACGAUAAUAAGAAGUAAAAGAACUGUGUGCUUCGUGUUUGAUGAAACUAAUCACUCGAAGAAAAGAAUACACGUCAGACAUGGCUACAUGGAAAAAAAAAAAAAAAAAAAAUUCCCAAUAUAACAAUUAGAUAACUUUUCGAACGUUGAGUAGCAUAACGAAAGUCUUAGACAGGUGAGUUGAAGUAGAAGUAGGAAGAGAAGUAUUAGCAGAUCCAUAGCAGUGGGUUAGUUGUAGAGAGUUCGUAGUGAGGCAGAAAUCAUCAUAAGAAUACGUAUACAGUGUUGAAGCAAGAUAUACACUGUAGUUACUCUGUGGACAAGAUGAGCAAGACAUCUGAAUGCACCACAAAUGGUUUCACUAGCUCGAUCAAAGCCUUUCUCAGAAUACUUGGAAUGAAGACAUUCUAUAAUAUCCGAAAUAUCAUAAGUACUGCCUACACAGGAAAGUGGCUAGCCUGUCGAGGCGGGACAGUGGUUAGUGACACUAUCUACUGGGCCGAAGGGCCCGGGUUCGAAUCCCGCUGUAGGUAGGUAGGUAGGUAGGAAGGAAGGUAGGGGGCGGGGCGGGGAUCUGCAUAAAAUUCCUUCAUAUAUAUAAUUUUUUUUCUUCUUCCUCGUAUAUAAUUAAUUAAUAAAAUUCCUGCUUUUAUAAUUAAUAAAUAUAUUUUUCAUAUUUCACACAUCACCAGAUUUUUCCAAUUUUCAUUGAUUUCACAUCAUUGUUUGUAUUGUAAUCUAUUCAUCUUACUCACAUUUAUAACUAAUAAACCUUUUCUUCAUAUUUGAUAGUCGUUUUGUCACUUUUCAUCAAUUUUACGACUUCAUGGAAAUGUGAUGUUUCUAAUACAAACAUUCCAUCCCACCAAAUUACAAACAGGCAUCUAACUUGACUUUGAAUUUCAAUUUUUCGAAGAUAAUUACACUUUCUUGAACACAAGCACAU